UACGUAGGGGGCUAGCGUUGUCCGGAAUUACUGGGCGUAAAGGGCUCGUAGGCGGCCAACUAAGUCGGACGUGAAAUCCCCAGGCUCAACCUGGGAACUGCGUCUGAUACUGGAUGGCUUGAAUCCGGGAGAGGGAUGCAGAAUUCCAGGUGUAGCGGUGAAAUGCGUAGAUAUCUGGAGGAAUACCGGUGGCGAAGGCGGCAUCCUGGACCGGCAUUGACGCUGAGGAGCGAAAGCCAGGGGAGCAAACGGG
rnacentral:rRNA from 1 species